UACAGAGGGGGCAAGCGUUAUUCGGAAUUAUUGGGCGUAAAGGGCGCGUAGGCGGCUUGGCAAGUGGAAGGUGAAAUCCCUCGGCUUAACCGAGGAACUGCCCUCCAAACUGCUUGGCUUGAGACCGGGAGAGGUGAGUGGAAUUCCCAGUGUAGCGGUGAAAUGCGUAGAUAUUGGGAGGAACACCAGUGGCGAAGGCGGCUCACUGGACCGGUACUGACGCUGAUGCGCGAAAGCGUGGGGAUCAAACAGG
rnacentral:rRNA from 1 species